GUGCUCACUUUGGCAGCACACAUACUAAAAUUGGAAUGAUACAGAAAAGAUUAGCAUGACCCUGCGUUGGAGAAGGGAAUGGCAAACCACUUCAGUAUUCUU
ensembl:snRNA U6 U6 spliceosomal RNA